rnacentral:ncRNA from 1 species
UGAUGAGGAUUAAAUGUGAGUCCUCUUAAAACUUUUUGAAUUGCUGGAAACCCCUUAGAGCUUGACGAACUACAACGUGGAUGGUAACAUCGAACGUGAAUGUUAAAAAUCGUCAGGAUUGGGCAAUCAGCAGGUAAGCUAAGCUCGAAACUGACUCCAAAUAUAGGAGGACAGUAUGAGAAAAUUUCAUCCGAUAUUCACUAGAUAUUCAACUGAUAUAGACGGGAAUGUCUAAGGUGGAAAUCUGUUUGGUUGGAAAUGGGCUUGGAAACUUCAACGACUAUCCCAUCUGGGAGUAGGAUCAAGUGAUCCGAAGCGGAAAGACGUGAAAGCGUAUGAUAUAGUCUCCCCUCAUGUGAAAGCAUGAG